CCUACGGGAGGCUGCAGUGGGGAAUAUUGGACAAUGGGGGCAACCCUGAUCCAGCCAUGCCGCGUGUGUGAAGAAGGCCCUCGGGUUGUAAAGCACUUUCAGUGAGGAAGAACGCCUGGUGGUUAAUACCCAUCAGGAAAGACAUCACUCACAGAAGAAGCACCGGCUAACUCCGUGCCAGCAGCCGCGGUAAUACGGAGGGUGCGAGCGUUAAUCGGAAUUACUGGGCGUAAAGCGCGCGUAGGUGGCUUGAUAAGCCGGUUGUGAAAGCCCCGGGCUCAACCUGGGAACGACAUCCGGAACUGUCAAGCUAGAGUGCAGGAGAGGAAGGUAGAAUUCCCGGUGUAGCGGUGAAAUGCGUAGAGAUCGGGAGGAAUACCAGUGGCGAAGGCGGCCUUCUGGACUGACACUGACACUGAGGUGCGAAAGCGUGGGUAGCAAACAGGAUUAGAUACCCUAGUAGUC
rnacentral:rRNA from 1 species